AUUGAACGCUGGCGGCAUGCUUUACACAUGCAAGUCGAACGGUAACAGGCCUUCGGGUGCUGACGAGUGGCGAACGGGUGAGUAAUGCAUCGGAACGUACCCAGAGGUGGGGGUUAACGCAGCGAAAGCUGUGCUAAUACCGCAUGUGAUCUGAGGAUGAAAGCGGGGGACCGAGCAGCAAUGUUUGGCCUCGCGCCUUUGGAGCGGCCGAUGUCGGAUUAGCUAGUUGGUGGGGUAAAUGCCUACCAAGGGGACGAUCCGUAGCUGGUCUGAGAGGACGAACAGCCACACGGGGACUGAGACACGGCCCAGACUCCUACGGGAGGGAGCAGUGGGGAAUGGUGGACAAUGGGCGCAAGCCUGAUCCAGCAAUGCCGCGUGCGGGAAGAAGGCCUUCGGGUUGUAAACCGCUUUUGGCAGGAACGAAACGGUGUCCGCUAAUACCGGGCGCGAAUGACGGUACCUGCAGAAUAAGCACCGGCUAACUACGUG
rnacentral:rRNA from 1 species